rnacentral:rRNA from 1 species
AUUGAACGCUAGCGGGAUGCUUUACACAUGCAAGUCGAACGAGUGGCGGACGGGUGAGUAAUAUAUCGGAACGUGCCCAGUAGCGGGGGAUAACUACUAGAAAGAGUGGCUAAUACCCCAUACUAUUGGGGCGGCCGAUAUCGGAUUAGCUAGUUGGUGGGGUAAAGGCUCACAAAGACAACGAUCCGUAAAUGGUUUGAGAGGACGACCAGCCACACUGGUAGUGAGACACGGCCCAGACUCCGACGUGAGGCAGCAGUGGGGAAUUUUGGACAAUGGGGGAAACUCUGAGCCAGCCAUCCCGCGUGUAUGAGAAGGCCUUCGGGUUGUAAAGUACUUUUGGCAGAGAAGCGGUAUCUGCAGAAUAAGCACCGGCUAACUACGUGCCAGCCGCCGCGGUAAUUC